UACAGAGGGGGCAAGCGUUGUUCGGAAUUACUGGGCGUAAAGGGCGCGUAGGCGGCCUGCUAAGUCGAACGUGAAAUCCCUGGGCUCAACCCAGGAACUGCGUCCGAUACUGGUUGGCUUGAAUCCGGGAGAGGGACGUGGAAUUCCAGGUGUAGCGGUGAAAUGCGUAGAUAUCUGGAGGAACACCGGUGGCGAAGGCGGCAUCCUGGACCAACACUGACACUGAGGAGCGAAAGCCAGGGGAGCAAACGGG
rnacentral:rRNA from 1 species